GCCCACCUAGGCGACGAUCCCUAGCUGGUCUGAGAGGAUGACCAGCCACACUGGAACUGAGACACGGUCCAGACUCCUACGGGAGGCAGCAGUGGGGAAUAUUGCACAAUGGGCGCAAGCCUGAUGCAGCCAUGCCGCGUGUAUGAAGAAGGCCUUCGGGUUGUAAAGUACCUUCAGCGGGGAGGAAGGCGGUGAGGUUAAUAACCUUGCCGAUUGACGUUACCCGCAGAAGAAGCACCGGCCAACUCCGUGCCAGCAGCCGCGGUAAUACGGAGGGUGCAAGCGUUAAUCGGAAUUACUGGGCGUAAAGCGCACGCAGGCGGUCUGUUAAGUCAGAUGUGAAAUCCCCGGGCUUAACCUGGGAACUGCAUUUGAAACUGGCAGGCUUGAGUCUCGUAGAGGGGGGUAGAAUUCCAGGUGUAGCGGUGAAAUGCGUAAAGAUCUGGAGGAA
rnacentral:rRNA from 1 species